rnacentral:tRNA from 1 species
UUUAAGAUAGUUUAAAAAAUAUUAAUUUUGGAGAUUAAAGAUAACUAUAAGUUUCUUUAAA